GAGUUUGAUCCUGGCUCAGGAUGAACGCUAGCGGCAGGCUUAACACAUGCAAGUCGAGGGGCAGCGCGGGUAGCAAUAUCUGGCGGCGACCGGCAAACGGGUGCGGAACACGUACGCAAUCUACCUUGGUCUGGGGCAUAGCCCGGUGAAAACCGGAUUAACACCCCAUAGUAUAAUGGGAGGGCAUCUUUCUGUUAUUAAAAUUUAUUGGAUCAAGAUGAGCGUGCGUCCCAUUAGCUAGUUGGUAGGGUAACGGCCUACCAAGGCGACGAUGGGUAGCUGAUGUGAGAGCAUGAUCAGCCACACGGGCACUGAGACACGGGCCCGACUCCUACGGGAGGCAGCAGUGAGGAAUAUUGGUCAAUGGACGCAAGUCUGAACCAGCCAUGCCACGUGAAGGAUGAAGGCGUUCUGCGUUGUAAACUUCUUUUAUUGGGGAAGAAACCUCUUUUUCUAAGGAGCCGACGGUACCCAACGAAUAAGCACCGGCUAACUACGUGCCAGCCGCCGCGGUAAU
rnacentral:rRNA from 1 species